rnacentral:rRNA from 1 species
CGGAAUUCUUCGGAAGGAAGAUAAAGUGACUGAGCGGCGGACGGGUGAGUAACGCGUGGGUAACCUGCCUCAUACAGGGGGAUAACAGUUAGAAAUGGCUGCUAAUACCGCAUAAGCGCACAGGACCGCAUGGUCUGGUGUGAAAAACUCCGGUGGUAUGGGAUGGACCCGCGUUGGAUUAGCUAGUUGGUGGGGUAACGGCCUACCAAGGCGACGAUCCAUAGCCGGCCUGAGAGGGUGGACGGCCACAUUGGGACUGAGACACGGCCCAGACUACUACGGGAGGCAGCAGUAGGGAAUAUUGCACAAUGGGGGAAACCCUGAUGCAGCGACGCCGCGUGAAGGAAGAAGUAUCUCGGUAUGUAAACUUCUAUCAGCAGGGAAGACAAUGACGGUACCUGACUAAGAAGCCCCGGCUAACUACGUGCCAGCAGCCGCGGUAAUACGUAGGGGGCAAGCGUUAUCCGGAUUUACUGGGUGUAAAGGGAGCGUAGACGGACGGGCAAGUCUGAAGUGAAAGGCAGGGGCUCAACCCCUGGACUGCUUUGGAAACUGUCCAUCUAGAGUGCCGGAGAGGUAAGCGGAAUUCCUAGUGUAGCGGUGAAAUGCGUAGAUAUUAGGAGGAACACCAGUGGCGAAGGCGGCUUACUGGACGGUAACUGACGUUGAGGCUCGAAAGCGUGGGGAGCAAACAGG